CCUACGGGAGGCAGCAGGGGGGAAUAUUGGACAAUGGGCGAAAGCCUGAUCCAGCCAUGCCGCGUGUGUGAAGAAGGUCUUCGGAUUGUAAAGCACUUUAAGUUGGGAGGAAGGGCAGUAAGCGAAUACCUUGCUGUUUUGACGUUACCGACAGAAUAAGCACCGGCUAACUCUGUGCCAGCAGCCGCGGUAAU
rnacentral:rRNA from 1 species